rnacentral:rRNA from 1 species
CAGGCCUAACACAUGCAAGUCGAACGAUGCUUUCGGGCAUAGUGGCGCACGGGUGCGUAACGCGUGGGAAUCUGCCCUUGGGUUCGGAAUAACAGCUAGAAAUGGCUGCUAAUACCGGAUGAUGACGUAAGUCCAAAGAUUUAUCGCCCGAGGAUGAGCCCGCGUAGGAUUAGCUAGUUGGUGAGGUAAAGGCUCACCAAGGCGACGAUCCUUAGCUGGUCUGAGAGGAUGAUCAGCCACACUGGGACUGAGACACGGCCCAGACUCCUACGGGAGGCAGCAGUGGGGAAUAUUGGACAAUGGGCGAAAGCCUGAUCCAGCAAUGCCGCGUGAGUGAUGAAGGCCCUAGGGUUGUAAAGCUCUUUUACCCGGGAUGAUAAUGACAGUACCGGGAGAAUAAGCCCCGGCUAACUCCGUGCCA